GUCAGCUAUGUGGACUCUAGCUGCCAAAGGCGCUUCUCCUUCUGAACAGAGCGCUUUGCUCAGCCAGUGUAGACAUGGCCUGAU
ensembl:miRNA MIR1251 microRNA 1251